rnacentral:rRNA from 1 species
GUGCCAGCCGCCGCGGUACUACGUAGGUGGCAAGCGUUACUCGGAAUUACUGGGCAUAAAGGGCGUGUAGGCGGACGUGUAAGUCCGGUGUAAAAGCCCCCGGCUCAACCGGGGAAGGUCAUCGGAUACUGCGCGUCUCGAGUGCGGGAGAGGAGAGUGGAACUCUUGGUGGAGCGGUGAAAUGCGUAGAUAUCAAGAGGAACGCCGGUGGCGAAAGCGGCUCUCUGGCCCGUUACUGACGCUGAGGCGCGAAAGCUAGGGGAGCAAACGGGAUUAGAUACCCCGGUAGUCCUAGCCCUAAACGAUGGGUACUAGGUAGGGGCGGCUCCGAUGUCGUCUCUGCUGUAGCAAAUGUGCUAAGUACCCCGCCUGGGGAGUACGGUCGCAAGGCUGAAACUCAAAUGAAUUGACGGGG